UGGGGAAUAUUGCACAAUGGGGGAAACCCUGAUGCAGCGACGCCGCGUGAACGAAGAAGGUAUUCGUAUCGUAAAGUUCUGUCCUAUGGGAAGAUAAUGACAGUACCAUAGAAGAAAGCUCCGGCUAAAUACGUGCCAGCAGCCGCGGUAAUACGUAUGGAGCGAGCGUUGUCCGGAAUUAUUGGGCGUAAAGGGUACGCAGGCGGUUUAAUAAGUCGAAUGUUAAAGAUCGGGGCUCAACCCCGCAAAGCAUUGGAAACUGAUAAACUGGAGUAGUGGAGAGGAAAGUGGAAUUCCUAGUGUAGUGGUGAAAUACGUAGAUAUUAGGAGGAAUAACAGUAGCGAAGGCGACUUUCUGGACACAAACUGACGCUGAGGUACGAAAGCGUGGGGAGCAAACAGG
rnacentral:rRNA from 1 species